AAGGCUCGGAAACGCCCCGCAGCCCCCACCCCACGUACAUGUUCGCUCGUUCCUGACGAGCUCCCCUGCGCUGUGACUCCUUCUCGCUCCUGACUCCCCUGAAGCAACCGGUGGCGGCGGCGGUUUCCAGGGGAUUUAGGAGGUCAAAUUACCGUGGUGCCAAGAAGCAUGGCCGAAACAAAAGGAAAAAAUAGAGUUUACCUUACAUGGACUCCUGAGAUGGACACGACAUUGUUGGCCGUCCUUGUUGAGCAUCACAACAAUGGUGACCGUGCUCAAAAUGGUUGGAAGCCACAUGUGUAUAAUGCUUGUAUUAAGCAUGUCAAGGAUACAUGUGAUGUUGACAUUACAAAGGAAAACAUAACAGGAAGAAUCAAAACAUUUGACAAGCAGUAUGAGAUCAUUAC